GCGAGUUGGUGGGCAGCUUACGGGUCGCUGGAGCAGUCCAGGGAUCUGAGGAAACUCCACCCUCCGAGUAGGACCGCGACGCCAGGAGGCGUAGGGGGAGACCCCUGCUCUUGGAACAGAAACGAGACGCCCGACGGUAAAUGACGAUGCUGCGAGAGUAUCGCUGAGGAUGCCGCCGGUUACGUUGAAACGGCCAAACCGCGGGGAGAAAGGGCAAAUAGGGGCUGAUGAUGCCUACAAUAGGCCCGGGUAGCCCGCAUAGUCGAAUGCUGCUUAGAACAGAAGGUGGGUUAUGGCCAACACGC
rnacentral:RNase_P_RNA from 1 species